rnacentral:rRNA from 1 species
AACGAACGCUGGCGGCAGGCUUAACACAUGCAAGUCGAACGGUUGUAGCAAUACAGCAGUGGCGCACGGGUGAGUAACACGUGGAUAUCUGCCUUUUGGUUCGGAAUAACCCUGGGAAACUAGGGCUAAUACCGAAUGGUUCCUACGGGAUAAAGAUUUAUCGCCAAAAGAUGAGUCCGCGUCCGAUUAGCUAGUUGGUGAGGUAAAGGCUCACCAAGGCGACGAUCGGUAGCUGGUCUGAGAGGACGAUCAGCCACACUGGGACUGAGACACGGCCCAGACUCCUACGGGAGGCAGCAGUGGGGAAUAUUGGACAAUGGGGGCAACCCUGAUCCAGCCAUGCCGCGUGAGUGAUGAAGGCCUUCGGGUUGUAAAGCUCUUUUGGCGGGGACGAUGAUGACGGUACCCGCAGAAUAAGCCCCGGCUAACUUCGUGCCAGCCGCCGCCGUAAUAC